UCAGACUGGAUAGGAAACAAAAAGGCAUCUUUUUGUUUUUAAAAGACCUUCUUAUGAAGGUAUGCUUAAAGAGGGGCUUGCGCCACAUUAGUUAGUUGGUAGAGUAAAAGCCUACCAAGACGAUGAUGUGUAGCUGGACUGAGAGGUUGAACAGCCACAUUGGGACUGAGACACGGCCCAAACUCCUACGGGAGGCAGCAGUAGGGAAUUUUCGGCAAUGGAGGAAACUCUGACCGAGCAACGCCGCGUGAACGAUGAAGUAUUUCGGUAUGUAAAGUUCUUUUAUUGAAGAAGAAAAAGUAGUGGAAAAACUAUAUUGACGUUAUUCAAUGAAUAAGCCCCGGCUAACUAUGUGCCAGCAGCCGCGGUAAGACAUAGGGGGCGAGCGUUAUCCGGAAUUAUUGGGCGUAAAGGGUGCGUAGGCUGUUAGAUAAGUCUAUAAUUUAAUUUCAGUGCUUAACGCUGUCUUGUUAUAGAAACUGUCUUGACUAGAGUGAGAUAGAGGCAAGCGGAAUUCCAUGUGUAGCGGUAAAAUGUGUAAAUAUAUGGAGGAACACCAGAAGCGUAGGCGGCUUGCUGGGUCUUUACUGACGCUGAGGCACGAAAGCGUGGGUAGCAAACAGGAUUAGAUACCCUGGUAGUCCACGCCGUAAACGAUGAGUACUAAGUGUCGGGGUAAAACUCGGUACUGAAGUUAACACAUUAAGUACUCCGCCUGAGUAGUACGUACGCAAGUAUGAAACUUAAAGGAAUUGACGGGACUCCGCACAAGCGGUGGAUCAUGUUGUUUAAUUCGAAGAUACACGAAAAAUCUUACCAGGUCUUGACAUACUCUGCAAAGCUAUAGAAAUAUAGUGGAGGUUAUCAGGGAUACAGGUGGUGCAUGGUUGUCGUCAGUUCGUGUCGUGAGAUGUUAGGUUAAGUCCUAAAACGAGCGCAACCCUUGUCGUUAAUUGCCAGCACGUAAUGGUGGGGACUUUAGCGAGACUGCCAAUUAAACAUUGGAGGAAGGUGAGGAUUACGUCAAAUCAUCAUGCCCCUUAUGAUCUGGGCUACAAACGUGAUACAAUGGCUGUGACAAAGAGUAGCUGAAACGCGAGUUUUUAGCCAAUCUCAAAAAAGCAGUCUCAGUUCGGAUUGAAGUCUGUAACUCGACUUCAUGAAGUUGGAAUCGCUAGUAAUCGCGAAUCAGCAUGUCGCGGUGAAUACGUUCGGUCGUUGGGUUU
rnacentral:rRNA from 1 species